rnacentral:rRNA from 1 species
UAAGGAAUAUUGGUCAAUGGACGCAAGUCUGAACCAGCCAUGCCGCGUGCAGGAAGACGGCCCUACGGGUUGUAAACUGCUUUUGUACCGGAAUAAACCUUUUCACGUGUGAGAAGCUGAAUGUACGGUAAGAAUAAGGAUCGGCUAACUCCGUGCCAGCAGCCGCGGUAAUACGGAGGAUCCAAGCGUUAUCCGGAUUUAUUGGGUUUAAAGGGUGCGUAGGUGGCCUAUUAAGUCAGGGGUGAAAGACGGUAGCUUAACUAUCGCAGUGCCUUUGAUACUGAUGGGCUUGAAUACACUUGAGGUAGGCGGAAUGUGACAAGUAGCGGUGAAAUGCAUAGAUAUGUCACAGAACACCAAAUUGCGAAGGCAGCUUACUAAAGUGUUAUUGACACUGAGGCACGAAAGCGUGGGGAUCAAACAGGAUUAGAUAGCCCUGGUAGUCCACGCCCUAAACGAUGAAUACUCGAUGUUGGCGAUAUACGGUCAGCGUCUAAGCGAAAGCGUUAAGUAUUCCACCUGGGGAGUACGCCCGC